GACGAACGCUGGCGGCGUGCCUAAUACAUGCAAGUUGAGCGCUGAAGGUUGGUACUUGUACCAACUGGAUGAGCAGCGAACGGGUGAGUAACGCGUGGGGAAUCUGCCUUUGAGCGGGGGACAACAUUUGGAAACGAAUGCUAAUACCGCAUAAAAACUUUAAACACAAGUUUUAAGUUUGAAAGAUGCAAUUGCAUCACUCAAAGAUGAUCCCGCGUUGUAUUAGCUAGUUGGUGAGGUAAAGGCUCACCAAGGCGAUGAUACAUAGCCGACCUGAGAGGGUGAUCGGCCACAUUGGGACUGAGACACGGCCCAAACUCCUACGGGAGGCAGCAGUAGGGAAUCUUCGGCAAGGGACGAAAGUCUGACCGAGCAACGCCGCGGGAGUGAAGAAGGUUGUCGGAUCGUAAAACUCUGUUGGUAGAGAAGAACGUUGGUGAGAGUGGAAAGCUCAUCAAGUGACGGUAACUACCCAGAAAGGGACGGCUAACUACGUG
rnacentral:rRNA from 1 species